CCAGAUGAGCACGCUCCGCGCAAUAAACAAAUAAAUAAUGCGCGGGCAUGGAGCAGCUGGUGUUGUGCCACGGGUGCCUAAUCCCGUGGCGCGCGUGGCUUCGUGCUCGUGAAGCGUGUUUCCCUAUAGCGGAAGGGAGAAAACGCGGUGUGCGGCGGAAUGCCUCUCGGGGCGUCGUGUUUGCAUUUCCCGGCAGCAGCUCUUGGGCUGCGGGGCGGCACGCUCGCGUUAUUUGUCUGGCACACUGCUCCCAUGGGCGUGCCAUCUUUGUUUUGGCGUCGUACCGUCUCUACGGCGGGCAUCCGUGGCGGACGUUUAUUUCUGGCCCGCCGAGAGGCGGCGUCGUUGGGCGGGCGUCUGGGGCCCUGCCCGAGGUUCGGGGCUCCAGAGUAUUGAGACGCGAGCGCGCACGAGGCUGGCGGAACCCGCGGUACACGGCCCAGAGCGUCGGCGGCGGGCGACGUCCUCCGGCGUGUGCCCGCCAUGAACCUUCUGGUUAUGGAUGCUGCUGCCGAAGCCGGCGAUGUCCCGGCCACCUCGGGUUCUACUCCGUUGGCUGAAGCGGUGGUCGUAGCGCCAGUGGGAGGCGAUCCUCCGUCGCUCCGAGCCUCAGGUCUGGCUGACCCUGAUUCGACGAGCAAGAGCGGUGGCGGCAGCCAUUGGAGCCCUGGACUAAGGGCCCCAACCACAUUAAUCCUUUCAUGUUAUAAUAAAGUUUAUUUCGUCUUUU